CUCAGAUUCCUUCUGAGCCUUUCAUGCUUCUUCCAUACUAAAAAAGAGAAAGCAUGUAGUUUUGAACAAGAAGGAUCUCACUUCCUCUCCAGUGCCUGGAAAUGGACAUUCCCUAUAGCUGCUCAUUGUAGCAGGGCUGCUUAAAUUUUAAAUUCUAUGCAGGUCAGAGUUUGGUGUACUACCCACAAGGAAGCAAUGGCAUGCAUGCUGCAAUUGAAAAAACACAUUGAAGAGAUGAAAAGCAGCAAUAUGCAAGGUUUGCAAAUAACGUAAGCACAAGAGACAUGGUUUUGUAGCAACUGCUUGCCACCAUGACUGAGAAUGUGGACAUGUCAUCGAUACAUCAGUGAGGAGUGUCUUUCAGGUAAUCUUUUAUAGUGCUGCCAAGUAACUCUGCUCAUUAUG
rnacentral:lncRNA from 1 species